CUGGAGGUCAAGACUGAAGGUGUGACUCUAGGACUCUCCCUGGACAAACCCAUCUUUCAAGCAGUCUGCCUUAGAAUAACAUCAAGACAAGGUUGAGAAGUUUCCCACUCAUUCUGGUGGACAGAGUGAUUUUGGAAAAGAAUUUCUCCCUUCCCUGGAGCUUCUAAGGACUCUACAACUGGAUUUCUGCUGUCUGACCCACCAAGGACUCAGUGUGAGAAUCUGGGCUGCCAAUUUGGAUUUAUCUUUAGGAGAGAACAGGCAAUGCAGCCAGGCUUCACCACCUUGAAAGAAGAGCAGUGCUUAGAGAUCUCGAGAUGUAAAUAGCUGGGAACAGAAGAGGAAGGAUGACUCAUUG